GGGAGGGGGAGUGGUCCAGCUCCUUCCCUCCCUCCUUCUCUUCCUCCUCCCCUUCUCCAUCUUCCCUCCCUCUAGCUCUCCGCCUCUCCUGCUUCUCUUGCCACCACCGCCCUCCCGCCAGCCUCUUCUCUGAUUGCUAGCUGCAUCCCUCCAGAUUGUGCCGAAGGGGACGAGCUGGAGAGCUCAGUGAGCGGCGCGAGGGCCACUGACGGCAGGAGAGCCAGAGCUAGCCGUGGGAGCUCCGGAACACACUGCGCACAGCUGGAGAGGCCUGGUCCAGCAGAGCCUGUCUUCAGGAGUACCUGUAGAUCCUAACCAGGUGACCUGUAAGUAUGAUCUACUUUUUCUUCUUCCUCAGUUAUUUUGAUAAUUGAGUAUUGAUCUAUCAAUAGAAA
ensembl:lncRNA